AUUUCAUGAUGAGGACACUUUUCAAGCAUCUCUUUGUAGCGUUCCCAAACUUCACAUAAUGUUUCACUAGACAGCUGAGAAAAUUGAGUGAGAGCAUUCCUGAUUGC
rfam:Daucus carota subsp. sativus cultivar DH1 chromosome 1, whole genome shotgun sequence.